AGCCUCCUGGUGCUUACCACAGGCUGUGUUCUUACACUGACUGUACAGAAAGAGAAGGCAGAAUAAACCUACCCAUAUAUACCCCAGCCCAGGCCCUUUGCCUGGUCUGUGUUGUGAAUGGAGGUCGAAGA
ensembl:snoRNA